GCGGGUUUAGCUCAGUUGGGAGAGCGUCAGACUGAAGUAAAACUUCAGGAAUUGCAAUCUGAAGGUCGUGUGUUCGAUCCACACAAACCGCA
rnacentral:tRNA from 2 species